CGGGGGAGGCCGGAUUCUGGGCUGUGUCCCGGCGCCCUGUGCUCCCGGGCCUGUGCUGUUGGAUUCGCGUCCCGGCUGCGCAUCCCCCU
rnacentral:pre_miRNA from 1 species